GUCUCUACUUCUUCGAGAUUAGAUGGGAUACUCAUUGAGCACACGUGGUUUACGUACUCAUACUACACUUUUGUGCAUUUUUGUUGCACAGGUAUACGUAACUCCAGUGUCCUACUGGGUGUAGCAGCACAUAUGAUUCUGGGACUAGGUGAAUUGUAUUUCCUCGAGGCGAUCUGCAGCUAGUAUAGUCUACCUGAGGAUCCUAUUUAUUUUCUGUCUAAUUGUAUUCCGA
rnacentral:lncRNA from 1 species